rnacentral:rRNA from 1 species
AUUGAACGCUGGCGGCAGGCUUAACACAUGCAAGUCGAGCGGAGAUGAGGUGCUUGCACCUUAUCUUAGCGGCGGACGGGUGAGUAAUGCUUAGGAAUCUGCCUAUUAGUGGGGGACAACAUUCCGAAAGGAAUGCUAAUACCGCAUACGUCCUACAGGAGAAAGCAGGGGAUCUUCGGACCUUGUGCUAAUAGAUGAGCCUAAGUCGGAUUAGCUAGUUGGUGGGGUAAAGGCCUACCAAGGCGACGAUCUGUAGCGGGCCUGAGAGGAUGAUCCGCCACACUGGGACUGAGACACGGCCCAGACUCCUACGGGAGGCAGCAGUGGGGAAUAUUGGACAAUGGGGGAAACCCUGAUCCAGCCAUGCCGCGUGUGUGAAGAAGGCCUUAUGGUUGUAAAGCACUUUAAGCGAGGAGGAGGCUACUGAGACUAAUACUCUUGGAUAGUGGACGUUACUCGCAGAAUAAGCACCGGCUAACUCUGUGCCAGCCGCCGCCGUAA